GUGGAUAUGGUGAAGCGGUUAACACACCGGAUUGUGGCUCCGGCAUUCGUGGGUUCAAGUCCCACUAUCCACCCCA
rnacentral:tRNA from 1 species